AACGAACGCUGGCGGCAUGCCUAACACAUGCAAGUCGAACGAGACCUUCGGGUCUAGUGGCGCACGGGUGCGUAACGCGUGGGAACCUGCCCUUAGGUUCGGAAUAACUCCCCGAAAGGGGUGCUAAUACCGGAUAAUGUCUUCGGACCAAAGAUUUAUCGCCUUUGGAUGGGCCCGCGUUGGAUUAGCUAGUUGGUAGGGUAAAAGCCUACCAAGGCGACGAUCCAUAGCUGGUCUGAGAGGAUGAUCAGCCACACUGGGACUGAGACACGGCCCAGACUCCUACGGGAAGCAGCAGUGGGGAAUAUUGGACAAGGGGCGAAAGCCUGAUCCAGCAAUGCCGCGUGAGUGAUGAAGGCCUUAGGGUUGUAAAGCUCUUUUACCCGGGAUGAUAAUGACAGUACCGGGAGAAUAAGCUCCGGCUAACUCCGUG
rnacentral:rRNA from 1 species